rnacentral:lncRNA from 1 species
GGGAUGUAACCGGCUGCUGAGCUGGCAGUUCUGUGUCCCCAGGCUUCGGCCCGGCCGCCGCCGCACAUAAACUGCGAGGAGGAGCUUUACGACUUCUCGGUCUUCGGGGCCGGGCGCAGCAAGGGCCAGACUCUGCGCUAGCAGGCGCUGCGCGCCAACCGGCCGGCCCCUGUCGCAGAAGGUGCAACCGAUCGCACUGUCGCGCAGAAGCUCCUCAAUGGCCAGCGCCAGCUGCAGCCCCGGCUGCCCACUCGCCUCACCUGAGCCUGGGUGGAACAAUCCAAAGUUUUAAUCAAAGAAGGUGGUAUUCAGUUGCUGCUUACAAUAGUUGAUACCCCAGGAUUUGGAGAUGCAGUGGAUAAUAGUAAUUGCUGGCAGCCUGUUAUCAAUUACAUUGAUAGUAAAUUUGAGGACUACCUAAAUGCAGAAUCGCAAGUGAACAGAUGUCAGAUGCCUGGUAACAGGGUGCACUGUUGUUUAUACUUCAUUGCUCCUUCAGGACAUGGACCGUUACAUAACUGAAGACUCCCACCUUCAGGCAGGAUUGGGUAGUACAUGUUUGUAACUACCUGGCAUUGCCUUUUGUUGAGACUUAAACCAUUGGAUAUUGAGUUUACAAAGCAUUUGCAUGAAAAAGUGAAUAUCAUCCCACUUAUUGCCAAAGCAGACACACUCAUGCCAGAGGAAUGCCAACAGUUUAAAAAACAGAUAAAGAAAUCCAAGAACAUAAAGUUAAAAUAUAUGAAUUUCCAGAAACAGAUGAUGAAGAAGAAAAAAAACUUGUUAAAAAGAUAAAGGACCAUUUACCUCUUGCUGUGGUGGGUAGUAAUACUAUCAUUGAAGUUAAUGGCAAAAGGGUCAUAGGAAGGCAGUAUCCUUGGAGUGUUGCUGAAGUUGAAAAUGGUGAACAUUGUGAUUUUACAGUUUUAAGAAAUAUGUUGAUAAGAACACACGCAGGACUUGAAAGAUGUUACUAAUAAUGUCCACUACGAGAACUAUGGAAUCAGAAAACUGGCAGCUGUGACUUAUCAUGGAGUUGAUAACAAGAAGAAUAAAGGGCAGCUCACUAAGAGCCCUCUGGCACAAAUGGAAGAAGAAAGAAGGGAGCAAGUAGCUAAAAUUAAGAAGAUGGAGAUGGAGAUGGAGCAGGUGUUUGAGAUGAAGGUCAAAGAAAAAGUUCAAAAACUGAAGGACUCUGAAGCUGAGCAUAACAAAAUGGAGAAAUUUCUACAAGCAAGCACUGUUUACAAUAAAAUAAUAUAGACUUCAA